AGUGAACGCUGGCGGUAGGCCUAACACAUGCGAGUCGAACGGCAGCACAGUAAGAGCUUGCUCUUACGGGUGGCGAGUGGCGGACGGGUGAGGAAUACAUCGGAAUCUACUUUUUCGUGGGGGAUAACGUAGGGAAACUUACGCUAAUACCGCAUACGACCUACGGGUGAAAGCAGGGGAGCUUCGGACCUUGCGCGAUUGAAUGAGCCGAUGUCGGAUUAGCUAGUUGGCGGGGUAAAGGCCCACCAAGGCGACGAUCCGUAGCUGGUCUGAGAGGAUGAUCAGCCACACUGGAACUGAGACACGGUCCAGACUCCUACGGGAGGCAGCAGUGGGGAAUAUUGGACAAUGGGCGCAAGCCUGAUCCAGCCAUACCGCGUGGGUGAAGAAGGCCUUCGGGUUGUAAAGCCCUUUUGUUGGGAAAGAAAAGCAGCAGGUUAAUACCCCGCUGUUCUGACGGUACCCAAAGAAUAAGCACCGGCUAACUUCGUG
rnacentral:rRNA from 1 species